GAUGAACGCUGGCGGCGUGCUUAACACAUGCAAGUCGAACGGAAAGGCUCCUGCUUGCAGGGGUACUCGAGUGGCGAACGGGUGAGUAACACGUGGGUGAUCUGCCCUGCACUUCGGGAUAAGCCUGGGAAACUGGGUCUAAUACCGGAUAGGACCACAUUUUGGAUGGUGUGGUGGAAAGUUUUUCGGUGUGGGAUGAGCUUGCGGCCUAUCAGCUUGUUGGUGGGGUAAUGGCCUACCAAGGCGUCGACGGGUAGCCGGCCUGAGAGGGUGUACGGCCACAUUGGGACUGAGAUACGGCCCAGACUCCUACGGGAGGCAGCAGUGGGGAAUAUUGCACAAUGGGCGCAAGCCUGAUGCAGCGACGCCGCGUGGGGGAUGACGGCCUUCGGGUUGUAAACUCCUUUCGCUAGGGACGAAGCGCAAGUGACGGUACCUGGAGAAGAAGCACCGGCUAACUACGUG
rnacentral:rRNA from 1 species